rnacentral:rRNA from 1 species
GUCUACGGCCAUGCCACCCUGAACAAGCCCGAUGUCUGAUCUCAGAAGCUAAGCAAGGUUGGGCCUGGUUAGUACUUGGAUGGGAGACCACCUAGGAAGACCAGGUGCUAUAGGCA